AGUUUGAUAUAUCAAACUCAGCAUCUCAAUUCUCAAUUACAAUACAGGCCCCGUGAAGUUUAGGAUAAUUACAAAUUUACAAUAAAUUUGAAGGGAAAAGAAGGCAUUGGCAAGAAUAAAGCAGCUAAAAGAUAUAGAAGCCAUGUAAUGUCACCAUUCCAACAUAGUUAUAUUUUUAUCUCCACUCAAAUGAACCGUAACAUUUUACACUCAUGGGAAACCCUAAUCAUUUCUUCAUUAUUGAAAGCUUAAGCAAGCGUACCAAUCUUAUAUUCUAAAACAACAUACUGAAAUCUCAAAUUCCAUUGAUAAUUCAUCAAUGGAACAAAUGAAACCCCCAAAAGUACUCAUGUUUUGUAAAGUGAUAGAAGUGACAAUUGUUCAUCUACAGAGCAAUCCACAUGACAUGACAUGCGGCAAGAAGAAGGAAUAAGAAUAAGACCAAUGCACCUCUGUUCCAUUGGAGAAGGAGACGAGCGUCGAGUGCUACGAUACUCCACAGUAUCCUGAAGAAUAAUAUUCCCUUGCUUGUCCAUGCAAUAGAAGUUACCCAAGAAGAAUCUUCCAUCUUUGAUCCCAACCAACAUUUGGCGAAACAGCAGCUUCCUUACCCGACUGACUCGAUCUGAUUCCAAACUGUCUGAGCUUCCUCCUUGAACUGGAACAGGUUGUUCUGCUUCUUGUUCCAUCUUAGCACUUGACAAUCACCUGCAAAAGAACAACAGAUACCAUCUAAACAACUUCAAAGUCUGGACAAGUGUAAAUGCAACUGCAGAAUAUAUUAUUAAAAUGGAAAGAUGAUUUAUGAAAAUAUUAUUAUUGUGAAUCAAAUUCAAUCACACACAACAAAUCGUGCAAAAUACGUGAAGUUUGCACGCAUCAACAAGCUUAUAAAAAGGUCUCAGAUUAUUUAAACACAUCAUAAUCUAGAAAAGAUGAUCAACCAAUAUAGGCAAAUUAAACACAUCAUUGACCUUACCUUUAUAAAAAUCACAGUACAUUAAAAAAAUCACAAAAAGAACUAAAUUAAACGUUUGUUGUAAACAAAAAAAAAAAACAGAUUUAGAUGGGGAUUUCACUCAUUAAUGCCUAGAUUUAUUUAGGUUUAAUUCUGACAGCAAUUUUCCUUAACUCAAUAUCAGAAGAGGGAGCUUCCGCUUCGUAUCCUCAUUGUGAACACUUCUCCCCAGAAAAACACAUUAAAACAGUCGAAAAACUGAAACGAAAAACUAAAAGGUUUUUUCAUUGCACUAGAUAAUCAAGGAGAUAAUAAACAAAUCAGAGAAAGAAGGUUAAUUAAAUCAGAGAAAGCCCAGCAUUCAAG
rnacentral:lncRNA from 1 species